CAGAGGGUGCAAGCGUUGUUCGGAAUUAUUGGGCGUAAAGCGCGUGUAGGCGGCUUAGCAAGUCGGGCGUGAAAGCCCUCGGCUCAACCGAGGAAGUGCACCCGAAACUGCUGAGCUUGAGUGCCGGAGAGGAUGGCGGAAUUCCCCAAGUAGAGGUGAAAUUCGUAGAUAUGGGGAGGAACACCGGUGGCGAAGGCGGCCAUCUGGACGGUAACUGACGCUGAGACGCGAAAGCGUGGGGAGCAAACAGGAUUAGAUACCCUGGUAGUCCACGCCGUAAACGAUGAGAACUAGAUGUCGCGGGUGUUGACCCCUGCGGUGUCGCAGCUAACGCAUUAAGUUCUCCGCCUGGGAAGUACGGUCGCAAGAUUA
rnacentral:rRNA from 1 species